rfam:Arabidopsis lyrata subsp. lyrata unplaced genomic scaffold ARALYscaffold_6, whole genome shotgun sequence.
GAAUAUGAGGAACAAAUGACUCAACCGUGAAUCAAACCAUGAACCAAAUUUUGCUUAUUGAUAUUCUGAUUCCA